CUCAGGCGCGGCUGGCGGCGGCCAGAGAGGAGGAGGUUGCGCGGGGCAGCGAGCGUGUGGGGCGGGCAGUGGCGCCGGACACGGACCAGGCCGGGCAAGGGCUGCGGGGGCUGCGCCGUGUCUCUUGGCGAAGGACAUUGCUGGGUGGCUCGCUCGGAGUCUUGUUUUAUGGCGUUUGUCCCACGGCUCCCCCGCUUCUCCUUCAGCCCGCGGCGGGGCCGAGCAGGAGCGCAGCGGGGCCAGGGAGCGGUGCAGAAAUGAAGGAGGGAGACGGGGCAGGGGCAUGACGGGCUUGGAGACCCAAGGCCCGGACUCAGAGAUCUCACGCUGCUGCCUGUCCGGGGACGGGGCAGGGUCAGGAAGCCCGGCGGCUCCUGAAGCCUCCCUCCUUCCCUCCCCGGGAGGUGUGGGGCGUGGUGAGGGGCAGUGACUGAGAGAGGAGGAAGACUGAAGAGCCUUGGGAUGUCACCAUGGAGCUCCUGUGACUGCUCCUGCCUUCUCUUUAGCAGCCCAGAGUCUUGUAGGAUGUGAGCAUGGCGCGCCUGUCAGUGCCAGUGACCUGCUGGCUCCCUAGAAGGCCCAGAGAGCCCCGCGAUGUCACCAUGGAAGCCCUGUGAGUGCAGCCUUGAACACCUCGGAAUGUCACCCUAGAGUCUGUGAGUGCCUGUGACAUUACAGCUGCUUAGCAGCCUGGAGACACUUGGGAUGUUGCCACUGAGACCCUGUGACAGACUGUGAGGAACUCAGAGACCUCUGGGAUGUCACCAUAGAAGCUCAGUGAGUGCCUGUGCCAAAUGGGCUCCUUAGCAUGUCGAGACACCUCUGUUGUCCUCAUGGACACCAGUGACUGCCUGUGACCUCGCAGGUUUUUGGAAAAUGAAAGAGCUCUGGGAUGUCAGCGCGGAUGCCCUGUGCCUGGUUGUGAUCUCUCUACUUCUGAGC